UACGAAGGGGGCGAGCGUUGUUCGGAUUUACUGGGCGUAAAGGGCGCGCAGGCGGCUCAUUUUGUCAGGCGUGAAAGCCCCGGGCUUAACCUGGGAACUGCGUUUGAUACGGAUGGGCUAGAGUUCGGGAGAGGUGAGUGGAACUGCGAGUGUAGAGGUGAAAUUCGUAGAUAUUCGCAAGAACACCAGUGGCGAAGGCGGCUCACUGGCCCGAUACUGACGCUGAGGCACGAAAGCGUGGGGAGCAAACAGG
rnacentral:rRNA from 1 species